AUUGAACGCUGGCGGCAUGCUUUACACAUGCAAGUCGAACGGCAGCACGGACUUCGGUCUGGUGGCGAGUGGCGAACGGGUGAGUAAUACAUCGGAACGUGCCCUGUUGUGGGGGAUAACUACUCGAAAGAGUAGCUAAUACCGCAUGAGACCUGAGGUUGAAAGCAGGGGAUCGUAAGACCUUGCGCAACUGGAGCGGCCGAUGGCAGAUUAGGUAGUUGGUGGGAUAAAAGCUUACCAAGCCGACGAUCUGUAGCUGGUCUGAGAGGACGACCAGCCACACUGGGACUGAGACACGGCCCAGACUCCUACGGGAGGCAGCAGUGGGGAAUUUUGGACAAUGGGCGAAAGCCUGAUCCAGCAAUGCCGCGUGCAGGAUGAAGGCCUUCGGGUUGUAAACUGCUUUUGUACGGAACGAAAAGCUUCGGGUUAAUACCCUGGAGUCAUGACGGUACCGUAAGAAUAAGCACCGGCUAACUACGUGCCAGCCGCCGCCGUAA
rnacentral:rRNA from 1 species